rnacentral:rRNA from 1 species
AUGUCUUCUGCUAGUUCUGUCCGGUCAUGUCUCCGCGGCCGGACAGUGGUGGUGGUGCUCAUCCCAUGCCCUCACUACCAGUCAAUAGUGAGGUACCACAUUUCGAACAUAGAGGAUCACGAGGGUUGGGUGUUCUACAAAUGUACCAAUCACUCACCUACUGGGUGUGCUUUCUGGUUUUGGGAGAUGGAAUAUGUUGCAUACCUAGUGGAUGCUCAUUUCUUGGUUGGGAACCAAGCAGUUGAUGUCGUUAGAGCAACAAAGGAGAGGAGGGGAGAAGUCAUUAAGACUAGGAAUGGAAGGAAAAGGAUUGCAUCUCGACUGGCAACUGAUAGAGUUGCUAUGGCAAGGCCUGGCUCUCUGCAGCAGAACAUGAGCAGGUAG